GCUGGUCUAGCUCAUCGCUGGAAGAGCGCCGAUUUCGUAAGUCGGAGGCGGCAGGUUCGAGCCCUGCGACCAGCACCA
rnacentral:tRNA from 1 species